rnacentral:rRNA from 1 species
GGACGGAGAAGGCUAUGUUGGCCGGGCGACGGUUGUCCCGGUUUAAGCGUGUAGGUGUGUGUUCCAGGUAAAUCCGGUUCACUUUAACACUGAGGCGUGAUGACGAGGCACUACGGUGCUGAAGCAACAAAUGCCCUGCUUCCAGGAAAAGCCUCUAAGCAUCAGGUAACAUCAAAUCGUACCCCAAACCGACACAGGUGG